rnacentral:lncRNA from 1 species
UCAGUACACUGGAGGAGGGGGAGAAGUGUAGGGGUAAUGGUGAACAGGAGGUGGUGGAGAUUUGUACUUGUAAACUGGAGGAGGUGGUGGGGGAGAUGUGUACUUGUAGACAGGUGUUGGAGGUGGCGGCGGCGGCGGUGACUUGUAUUUAUAGACUGGUUUUGGUGGUGGUGGUGGUGGUGACUUGUACUUGUACACUGGCUUAGGUGGUGGUGGUGGUGGAGACUUGUACUUGUACACUGGCUUAGGGGGUGGUGGAGGAGGUGAUUUGUACUUAUACACUGGUUUUGGUUUUGGGGAUGGUGGUGGUGGUGACAUGUAUUUGUACACUGGCUUUGGGGGCGGUGGGGGUGGUGACUUGUAUUUGUACACUGGCUUUGGGGGCGGUGGGGGUGGUGACUUGUAUUUGUACACUGGCUUUGGUGGAGGUGGUGGUGGAGAUUUGUACUUAUAGACUGGGGUCGGAGGGGGUGGCGGGGGUGACUUGUACUUGUACACUGGCUUUGGAGGGGGUGGUGGGGGUGAUUUGUACUUAUACACUGGCUUUGGAGGGGGUGGUGGUGGGGACUUGUACUUGUAGACUGGCUUUGGUGGUGGUGGAGAUUUGUAGUGAUAAGGAGGAUACACCACAUGAUUUGGGGGUGGUGGUGGAGACUUGUACUUGUACAGCGGCUUUGGAGGGGGUGGUGGUGGAGACUUGUACUUGUACACUGGCUUUGGAGGGGGUGGUGGUGGAGACUUGUACUUGUAAACUGGCUUAGGUGGUGGUGGUGGUGGAGACUUGUACUUGUACACCGGUUUUGGUGGUGGCGGUGGUGGAGACUUGUACUUGUACACCGGUUUUGGUGGUGGC